rnacentral:rRNA from 1 species
UACGGAGGGAGCUAGCGUUGUUCGGAAUUACUGGGCGUAAAGCGCGCGUAGGCGGUCUUGUAAGUUAGAGGUGAAAGCCCGGGGCUCAACUCCGGAACUGCCUUUAAGACUGCAAGACUAGAAUCCGGGAGAGGUAAGCGGAAUUCCGAGUGUAGAGGUGAAAUUCGUAGAUAUUCGGAGGAACACCAGUGGCGAAGGCGGCUCACUGGCUCGAUACUGACGCUGAGGUGCGAAAGCGUGGGGAGCAAACAGG